AGUGGAAUUAAACAAGGUGUCAGUUGUGCAGUGUGGCAUGCCACUAAGAAAUGUGACAAUGGAUAAAGGAUAGCAGGUGGAAGCGAGUCAUGCAAUGCAAUGCAAGGUUAGGCUAGAGUUGUUGGGAAAGCAUGUCGCUAUCGGCUUCCACAUUUUUGCACGCGUACGCUUGACCACCAGGUAGCUGUCAGUAAUUGAUUCACAAGAAAAAGAGGGUAGCUGUCAUUAAUCCCGUGCGCAUGCGAUUACCUCGAAAACUAUAGGCCCAAGCGAGUAGAGAUAAAAAAAAAAAGGUUGGAUGGAGUUCUAGUUUAACCGUUGACCUAGGGUCGUUGUCUCCUACGGUCCUACCCGAACAAAAACCCCCCC
rnacentral:lncRNA from 1 species